rnacentral:lncRNA from 1 species
GACGUCCCCACGCCAACGUCCCCAUCCCCACGCCAACGUCCCCAUGCCCACACCAAUGUCCCCAUCCCCACGCCAACAUCCCAAUGCCCACGCCGAUGUCUCCACGCCAGCGUCCCCACACCGAUGUCCCCAUGCCAACGUCCCCAUCCCCACGCCAACAUCCCCACAUCAAUGUCCCCAUGCCCACGCUGACGUCCCCACGCCAAUGUCCCGUCAGUGUCCCCAUGCCAACGUCCCCAUCCCCACGCCAACAUCCCAAUGCCCAUGCCAGCGUCCCCACGCCGAUGUCCCCACACCGACAUCCCCGCGCCCACGCCAAUGUCCCCAUGCCAAUGUCCCCAUGCCCACGCCAACAUCCCAAUGUCUAUGCCAACGUCCCCACGCCAAUGUCCCCACCCCCACGCCAACAUCCCAAUGCCCAUGCCAGUGCCCCCAUGCCAACGUCCCUGUGCCAGUGUCCCCACACCAACGUCCCCAUGCCCACGCCAACAUCCCAAUGCCCAUGCCAACGUCCCCACACCGAUGUCCCCAUGCCAACGUCCCCAUCGCCAUGCCAACGUUCCACACUGAUGCCCCCACGCCCACGCCGACGUCCCCACGCCAAUGUCCCAUCAAUGUCCCCACACCAACAUCCCAAUGCCCACGCCAGCGUCCCCACGUCAAUGUCCCCACACCGAUGUCCCCACGCCAACGUCCCCAGGCCCACGCCGACGUCCCCACGCCCACGCCGACGUCCCCACUCACAACUUGUGCUUGCAGGUGAGCAUGGCCUCGGCCACGGGCAGCUGGUGGGUGGCGCCGGCGCCCGCCACGUAGGCCAUGAUGCGUCCCACCACGUUGAAGGGCUCUGCGGGCGUCACGGCGGGUGGCAGCACCCACGGGGGGCGAGGGGGAAGGGUGUAGGUGCCCCGACGCCCACCCCUGGGUGCCCACCACCCGCCCCUUGGUGCCCACCCAUGGCCACGUAUCGCCAGGGCCCAGCCCUAGAAUGAGCACCCAUGGGUGCCCCUGCUGCUCCCGGGUGUUGGCCCGGAGAUGCCCAUCCCUGGGUGUUCCCAUUCAUGGUGGUGCCCACCCAAGGGUGCUCCAAGAUGCCCAUCUCUGGGUGCUCC